CUUGAUCGCGCCCAGCCACAGCGGCCGGCCCUCGGGCCGCUCCUGACCGUAGGUGGCCAGCAGCGCCUGGGCUUC
rnacentral:antisense_RNA from 1 species